UACAGAGGGGCGAGCGUUGUUCGGAAUUACUGGGCGUAAAGGGCGCGUAGGCGGCCUCUUAAGUCGAACGUGAAAUCCCCGGGCUCAACCCGGGAACUGCGUCCGAUACUGGGGGGCUUGAAUCCGGGAGAGGGAUGUGGAAUUCCAGGUGUAGCGGUGAAAUGCGUAGAUAUCUGGAGGAACACCGGUGGCGAAGGCGGCAUCCUGGACCGGUAUUGACGCGUGAGGCGCGAAAGCCAGGGGAGCAAAGCGGG
rnacentral:rRNA from 1 species